GUUUUCAAUAUUAUCCAUGAUUUGCUUCGUGCUGCGUGGCCAAGUGGAUAAGGCGUCGGUGUAGUGAUCUGAAGGUCGCUAGUUCGAGCCUUAGUGUCAUGUCCUUGAGCAAGGCACUUAACAACACAUUGCUCUGUGACUACACCGGUGCCAAGUUGUAUGGGUCCUAAUGCCCUUCCCUUGGACAACAUCGGUGGUGUGCAGAGGGGAGACCUGCAGCCUGGUUAUAUUAUUUCCUUAUAAGCUUGGCUUUAAACCCUUCAGUGAAGAGUAACUUCACAAUGAUGCUCAACCAACUGCGUUCCUCCAACAGACUGGCCUCUCAACUUGACAGUUCUUUUGAAAAAUGGUUCUUUCAACAACACAAGUUUAUCCUUUUGUAGGUGCUUAAGGACUCAAGUGAGAUUCAAAAUGAAGUGCUUUGUUAUUUGGAAUAUAUUGAGAUUGAAGUUAUGCCAUGAAUAUCAGUUGUUUGGAAUUGUGUGUGCCAUACUCUGCCAGAGCCUCGGCAACUGUUUAUUUUUUCAAGUGUUUGGCUUGGAGGAAAGAUUCUGUGAGUGGUCCCCCACGUCCUUCUCACAGCACAGUUUUUUUUUACGAGGCCGAGUUGCAAGCUCAACACUCAACCCGGAAUGGAUGGAAAGCAUGACUGGGAGUGGCCCAACUGGAUUCAAACUCGGGAACCUUCGCUCCGGACUCCGGCACUAAUGUCACUGCACCACCAGCCAGUGUUUGGCAUUACUACAAUGAUAUUGACUCAAUGUUUCUUUGCCUAGUCAGGUAACAGCAUACAUGGAUAAAGUCACAAAUGAAAGCCUUGCUUGCAAUGGAAACAUUAUAUUAUUCACAAAUUAAAGAUUAGCAAUUUGAUUU